rnacentral:rRNA from 1 species
AGAGUUUGAUCCUGGCUCAGAUUGAACGCUGGCGGCAUGCCUUACACAUGCAAGUCGAACGGCAGCACGGACUUCGGUCUGGUGGCGAGUGGCGAACGGGUGAGUAAUGCAUCGGAACGUGCCAUUGAGUGGGGGAUAACGUAGCGAAAGUUGCGCUAAUACCGCAUAUUCUGUGAGCAGGAAAGCAGGGGACCGCAAGGCCUUGCGCUCUUUGAGCGGCCGAUGUCAGAUUAGCUAGUUGGUGAGGUAAAGGCUUACCAAGGCGACGAUCUGUAGCGGGUCUGAGAGGAAGAUCCGCCACACUGGAACUGAGACACGGUCCAGACUCCUACGGGAGGCAGCAGUGGGGAAUUUUGGACAAUGGGGGCAACCCUGAUCCAGCCAUGCCGCGUGAGUGAAAAGGCCUUCGGGUUGUAAAGCUCUUUCGGCCGGGAAGAAAUCGCAUGGGCCAAUACCCUGUGUGGAUGACGGUACUGGAAUAAGAAGCACCGGCUAACUACGUGCCAGCAGCCGCGGUAAUACGUAGGGUGCGAGCGUUAAUCGGAAUUACUGGGCGUAAAGCGUGCGCAGGCGGUUUUGUAAGACAGGCGUGAAAUCCCCGGGCUUAACCUGGGAACUGCGUUUGUGACUGCAAGGCUAGGGUACGGCAGAGGGGGGUGGAAUUCCACGUGUAGCAGUGAAAUGCGUAGAGAUGUGGAGGAACACCAAUGGCGAAGGCAGCCCCCUGGGUCGAUACUGACGCUCAUGCACGAAAGCGUGGGUAGCAAACAGGAUUAGAUACCCUGGUAGUCCACGCCCUAAACUGUGUCAACUAGGUGUUGGGUGGGUAAAACCAUUUAGUACCGUAGCUAACGCGUGAAGUUGACCGCCUGGGGAGUACGGCCGCAAGGUUAAAACUCAAAGGAAUUGACGGGGACCCGCACAAGCGGUGGAUGAUGUGGAUUAAUUCGAUGCAACGCGAAAAACCUUACCUACCCUUGACAUGCCAGGAACUUGCCAGAGAUGGCUUGGUGCCCGAAAGGGAGCCUGGACACAGGUGCUGCAUGGCUGUCGUCAGCUCGUGUCGUGAGAUGUUGGGUUAAGUCCCGCAACGAGCGCAACCCUUGUCGUUAAUUGCCAUCAUUUGGUUGGGCACUUUAACGAGACUGCCGGUGACAAACCGGAGGAAGGUGGGGAUGACGUCAAGUCCUCAUGGCCCUUAUGGGUAGGGCUUCACACGUCAUACAAUGGUCGGUACAAAGGGUUGCCAAGCCGCGAGGCGGAGCCAAUCCCAGAAAGCCGAUCGUAGUCCGGAUUGCAGGCUGCAACUCGCCUGCAUGAAGUCGGAAUCGCUAGUAAUCGUGGAUCAGCAUGUCACGGUGAAUAC